GACGUAGGGGGCAAGCGUUGUCCGGAAUUAUUGGGCGUAAAGAGCUCGUAGGCGGUUCGUCGCGUCGGCUGUGAAAACCUGAGGCUCAACCUCAGGCCUGCAGUCGAUACGGGCGGACUUGAGUACUGCAGGGGAGACUGGAAUUCCUGGUGUAGCGGUGAAAUGCGCAGAUAUCAGGAGGAACACCGGUGGCGAAGGCGGGUCUCUGGGCAGUAACUGACGCUGAGGAGCGAAAGCGUGGGGAGCGAACAGG
rnacentral:rRNA from 1 species